GCCAUAGCUCAUUGCUGGAACAUUUGCUUUGCAUGCAGAAGGUCCCAGAUUCAAUUCCUGGUAUCUCCA